CACACCCGAUAUACACAAGAUAUGCCAGACUCCCUUCCCAAUACACAUUGGUAGAUUGCUUAACAAGCACUUUCCAACUGCGAAUUCAACUUUAUAAGAUAUCAAAAGAAUAUAUGUUGUAUCAUCAUUUAACUUGUUUUAAAUUAAAUUCAUUUGACUUUUAAGACCUUUUGAAAAUCAAGCCCAAUCAUUAAUACAGAUUCAGAGAAUAUUCUCACCUCUCCAGUACAUACUGGCGUAGAGUCAUUAUCGUCCCACUCGUCCAUUAUUGAGCCUAGCGAGGGAAGAAAAAUUAAUUACUUUUAAAAUAAAUUUUUGAUGAAAUUUUCAAGAUUCACUAUCAAGAGAAGUUAGCCAAAUUCAAGCAUGUUAAUUAAUAAUCACAGUCCUAUCGAAAUCGUGAUUUGGUACACAGAAGAUAAUAGUGGUUUUUUCACAAUCGGAUUAACUUAUUUUGGUGAAUAUUUCAAAUGUGUACAAAUGAAGUAUAAUUUUCUCUUUUACGUUAGCUUCAUCAUCUGUUUGACGAAUUUUUCACUGACAAUAUAUACCGAUUAUCGUUUGAUGUGUCGUGAUGAUACUCAGAGAUUGACAAAGUAUUUUUAGUUUCACUUGACCCAAGAUUUCUAAUAAUUCAACAAAUUCGUAUUCUAUGACGCGUACGUUUCGCUAAAGUAUCAAGUGGACCACGUGGGGGAACAGCAAAAAAACAUUCGUUUUCAAGAACCCGUCGUACUAGUUUUAAAAAUCGCGAAUUAUAAUGUGAGAGGUUGACACGCUCGAUAGUUUCGUAUGGGCUUGACUCGCAGUACAAUCAGCUUGAAUAAUUUUAUUCUAUAAUUAUCUAGUAGACACGCGGAGGUUGAAAAAAUAGCACGAUCGCAAAGGGCAAAAAGUAUCUUGCAAAAUUUUACCACCUGAGAAUGUAGAACUAAACCGAAUUUGAUGAAAAUCAACCCGGUCAAGUCACGGUUAUACGUGGUGAUUUAUAAUAACCGAUAGUAAGUAAAAGGAUCAAUCGUGAGAAGUGUCGACUUUUCGAAAGACGGAAGGGUGAGGAAUCGUGGAAUUUUCGAGAAGGAUGCCAACACGUGCUGGAAGAAAUCAUUCGAUUCGGCACUGCACCUGGUGUAUUUUAGGAAACAAUGAUGGCGUACUUACUAGAUAGAUGCCUUCUCUUCCGAAAGCGUAGACGUAGUGUUGUGCCGAUCCUACAGCAAACAAAACUCGCAACGUCUCACGGGAGAAAAAGACAAGCUCAACGGACAAAGCGUCGAGCCAAUCUGACUCGGCAACUUCAGGCUUAACCGGUUCCCGCCGCCGUGUAUCGAACCCACCGAACCUUCCCAAACGCCGUAUUGCGCAUGCGUCAAUCCAAACUGCGACUCAUGCCGCAAGGGCGUCGCUAACGGAGGCGUUUCAGCACUGCGCAAAUAUUCUGUUCCAUACUUCGGACCGUUGAAUGAGAAUAACGCCCAAUCAACAUCGAGAAUUACUUCUGGAUCUACCUAAAGGUGUGGCAGCGCUGAAGCGUACGAUAAAUAGAGAGAGAAGAAAGAUCAGAGACGAAUUUCUCUUCCUGUAGGACGUACGUCGUUCCAGAGAGACAGAGAUGGCUCCCCGAUCUUUUUUCUCUGUCUCUAUUCUACAUGAACGAAUCAGAUGGAAGACUUGGAACGCAAAUCGGUUAUUUCUUAUCAAACCUCAAACCAGAUCGGCUGACCCAAUUAGUAUCGUGCUCAACUGAAAUUGAGCGUACGAGGCCGUCAACUCGUAAACGUAACUUAUUUACAGUUCGUGUACUGUGAGCUGAACAUUUGUAGGGUGGGAUGUUUUUG
rnacentral:lncRNA from 1 species